rnacentral:rRNA from 1 species
AACGAACGCUGGCGGCAGGCUUAACACAUGCAAGUCGAACGCAUCCAUCGGGGUGAGUGGCAGACGGGUGAGUAACGCGUGGGAACGUGCCCUUCAGUUCGGGAUAACCUAGAGAAACUUGGGCUAAUACCGGAUACGUGCGAGAGCAGAAAGAUUUAUCACUGAAGGAUCGGCCCGCGUCUGAUUAGCUAGUUGGUGGGGUAAUGGCCCACCAAGGCGACGAGCAGUAGCUGGUCUGAGAGGAUGAUCAGCCACACUGGGACUGAGACACGGCCCAGACUCCUACGGGAGGCAGCAGUGGGGAAUAUUGGACAAUGGGCGCAAGCCUGAUCCAGCCAUGCCGCGUGAGUGAUGAAGGCCUUAGGGUUGUAAAGCUCUUUCAGUGGGGACGAUAAUGACGGUACCCGCAGAAGAAGCCCCGGCUAACUUCGUGCCAGCCGCCGCGGUAA